rnacentral:rRNA from 1 species
UACGUAGGGACCGAGCGUUGUCCGGAAUCAUUGGGCGUAAAGCGCGUGUAGGCGGCCCGGUAAGUCCGCUGUGAAAGUCCAGGGCUCAACCCUGGGAUGCCGGUGGAUACUGUCGGGCUCGAGUCCGGAAGAGGCGAGUGGAAUUCCUGGUGUAGCGGUGAAAUGCGCAGAUAUCAGGAGGAACACCAAUGGCGAAGGCAGCUCGCUGGGACGUGACUGACGCUGAGACGCGAAAGCGUGGGGAGCAAACAGG